UACGUAGGGGGCAAGCGUUGUCCGGAAUCAUUGGGCGUAAAGCGCGUGUAGGCGGCUCAGUAAGUCCGCUCUGAAAGCCCGGGGCUCAACCCCGGGAGGCGGGUGGAUACUGCUGAGCUUGAGUCCGGAAGAGGCGAGUGGAAUUCCCCGGUGUAGCGGUGAAAUGCGCAGAUAUCGGGAGGAACACCAAUGGCGAAGGCAGCUCGCUGGGACGUGACUGACGCUGAGGAGCGAAAGCGUGGGGAGCGAACAGG
rnacentral:rRNA from 1 species